rnacentral:rRNA from 1 species
UNUGACUUGAGUGCAGAAGGGGAGAGUGGAAUUCCAUGUGUAGCGGUGAAAUGCGUAGGUAUAUGGAGGAACACCAGUGGCGAAAGCGGCUCUCUGGUCUGUCACUGACGCUGAGGCUCGAAAGCGUGGGUAGCGAACAGGAUUAGAUACCCUGGUAGUNCACGCCGUAAACGAUGAGUGCUAGGUGUUAGGCCCUUUCCGGGGCUUAGUGCCGGAGCUAACGCAAUAAGCACUCCGCCUGGGGAGUACGACCGCAAGGUUGAAACUCAAAGGAAUUGACGGGGGCCCGCACAAGCGGUGGAGCAUGUGGUUUAAUUCGAAGCAACGCGAAGAACCUUACCAGGUCUUGACAUCCCGAUGCUAUUCUUAGAGAUAGGAAGUUACUUCGGUACAUCGGAGACAGGUGGUGCAUGGUUGUCGUCAGCUCGUGUCGUGAGAUGUUGGGUUAAGUCCCGCAACGAGCGCAACCCUUAUUGUUAGUUGCCAUCAUUAAGUUGGGCACUCUAGCGAGACUGCCGGUAAUAAACCGGAGGAAGGUGGGGAUGACGUCAAAUCAUCAUGCCCCUUAUGACCUGGGCUACACACGUGCUACAAUGGUCGGUACAACGAGUUGCGAGCCGGUGACGGCAAGCUAAUCUCUGAAAGCCGAUCUCAGUUCGGAUUGGAGGCUGCAACUCGCCUCCAUGAAGUCGGAAUCGCUAGUAAUCGCGGAUCAGCACGCCGCGGUGAAUACGUUCCCGGGCCUUGUACACACCGCCCGUCACACCACGAGAGUUUGUAACACCCGAAGUC